GGGAAUGGAGAAUCCUCAGUCUAGCUUCAGUUCUCCCUUCAACUAGAAGUGGUUUUUGGGCUUGGUAACUGAUCGAAAGUGUAUAGUUUCUUCGAAAUGUCUUUCUCUCCGAGCAAUGGAAAGAAGCGCAAGCGUAGCCCUGGGGACAACGAUGGAAUCACGCCCAGGAUGGGCCUUGAUGAUUCUCCGCCGGUGGCGCCACCGAGAAGUGGAUACGGUUACGGGCCCGGACUGGGCAUGCUAGGAGGAAUUGGACAAGGGCGGGGACAUGGUCAAGGAUUGGGACAUGGACAUGGACAGGCAAUGAGAUUUGGACUUGGAUUUGGUCAUGGACGGGGACAGGGACUUGGAUUCGGUCAUGGACAAGGACAGGGACUCGGACAAGGACACAGACCGGGGCUUGGACAAGGACAGGGGCUAGGAUCUGACGGUGGAUUUGGCGAGGACACAGAAAGAACACUGAGUGUGCCGGUUGAUGAAAACACUUAGGAUAAGUAACCAGGCGAAGGAGCAAACACUCACUAGGAGCAGGCGACAACACCCACCCGAAGAAGACACCAGGACCAGGACAGUACACCUCAGGGGCUCAUCAAGGAGUGAUUCAAGCAGCAACACCCGACCCGACCACAGAAGCUCCUCAGUCGAUUAACAAUCCAUCAGGCAGGACACUUACGGCAGGGCAGUCACCAAUUAGGCCACUUAAGGCGCGGCAAUCAAUCACCAGGCUGGAACGGAAGAUUUGGGUUUUGCAUUGGAAAUAGUUGUUGAGAUAAGCUUGACGUUUCAUAAAAUGUAAUACAUAUAUAUUUUCGUUUCUCGAUUCUUGCUCUUUGUCUUUUUGUUAGUUUCUUAACUCUUCCCGUUGACUGCCAUGUCGGGUGUUCUUUGUGCUGGCUGUCCCUCUCCGCUAUCCUGCUGGCCUCGUCCUGUCUCUGCCGGACUCGGACUCGGCCCUCCUGACCACUCUCUCGCGCUUUGUUUUCAACAAUCCUGCCUCUUCUAAUGAUUAUAUAGAGCACUGGGCGUCCAAAGUUGGGCCCGCGCGCGUAGUAUGUAUAUUUGAUUUAAAUCGAAGCUGCUAAAAACGUAAAAGCAAAUUCAACAAACAAACUCUCAUAGGUCGUACAUAUUUGUCGAUACAUUGAUUCUUACUCUAGAUAUAAGGUAUGUGAUGCAGAUAUCUGUGGUUCACUGGAUAUAAGGCAAUGGAUACGUGUGUGUGGUGAGGGGUGUGUGGUGUGUGGUGUUUGGUGUUUGGUGUUUGGUGUUUGGGGUGGGGGUAGAUGCCAUAUUAUGAUCUGAUCCGGACCCGCAUCCGGAGUCGGAGUACGGAGUCCUGGAUCCCAAAAUCAAGGCGCAAACAAAGACGAGGGGGCAAAGGUUAACAAUGUUCAAUAUUUUCGUAUCUUAGGGGAAAAUUCGUUUCAUGAAAGGCAAAAAAUUUCUUCUGGCUAUUAGAAGAGUUCAUUUUUUUGUUUGUUUUUUUCUUUAAGCAACAUCAAUACGCUCAAGUACAUAUAUAUGUGUAUAUAUAUAUAGAGUAUAUAUAUAGUGUGUAUAUUGUUCACGUGUGAGUAUUCAUUAUCUUUAAUUUUAAUUGUUUUCAUUCAUUUUUCAUUUUUCAUUUUUAAUCGUUCAUUUUUACUUUCUUGUUUUGUUUUUCUUCGGCUUCUUUGUUUAGUUUUCGAUUGGCGCACGAAUUUUCGAAAAUUAAUUAUAAUAUUCAAUAAAUUGUAUAUAUUCUGUUUCGUUUUUACUCUUAAAGUUUUUGCUUUUGCUUUUUGUUUCUUGAUUAUGAAUUUAAAAUUCUCAAAGCGGAGACUGCAAGCUACUCAAUAAUCAAAACAUCGACUGGAAUCGUAUAUACGUAUAUGUCUGCGUGUAUAUAUCCGCUUCCGGUGCUGGUCGGACGGGGAUCACGGAUCGGGGUAACGCGUAACGGUAUUUCAAGUCUAUAUCUGCCUAGGCCCGCCCUGCCCGCUCCCCUCUUAGUCCUAUUAAAUCUGCUUAAUUUCUGUCGUUUUAGCCAAACGGUUUGUAGACUGGACGGUUGCCAGUUGACUGCCGGAUGUCCUGCCGCCGCCUCGGAUGCCGCCGCAGGACCUGUUGCUGUCCUGUAUAAAAAGCAACACAAAAAUAUACGCGUAGCCUAAAAAAGUCUGACUUGAUUCUUGUUUUUAAUUGUAACUGGCUCUUUGGACUGUUUUUGUUAAUAUUUUUGCUGUUCCGUUUUGUGAUUAACACUUUAAAAUUGCCUGUGUGCCUGCUCCUCCUGCUCGUCGUCCUUUUCAUCCUUCUAUUUCCUCUUAUUUAAUCGCAUAUUUAUCAGUUGUUUCUGCUAUCUGCUGUUUGUUUGAAAAUUUGUUAUUCUAUGACUAUGAAAAAGUAAAAAAAAUAUAGAAAAAUAACCUUCACUUUGUGUUCUUCAAUAUUUAAUCGUAUUAGUUUAUCUGACUCUCUCUCUCUCUCUCUCUCUCUAUCUCUCUGUCUUUCUCGUCCUUCCCGACUGUCUUGCAUUCUGCGUGUCCUGAUCCCAAACCCACUGUCCACCCUCCCGAACAACCCACCUAACCUGAUCACAAGCCCAGUUCUAGUCCUCUGACUCCCAGUAUCCUCAUUAUCCUUAUAUUGUAACAUCAGCAUUGACUCUCAGUCCUUGUUCCAGGGUCCUUGUCCGUCGAGGUCCUAGUCUAUCACCCGCCAGCAACAAACUUCCCACGUCCACCUGCUCCUCCCACUUAAACUCUAUUCCAUUCAAUCCAAAAUUCCCUUCCCUAUUUGAGGUGUACGUAUAUCGUAUAUCGUUUAUCGUUAAUCGCUUAUCGAUUGCUAUAGCUGCUGAAUAUUCUUAGUCUUUUUGCCUGCAACAAAACGGAAUCAAACAUAUAAAGUAAUGUAACGAAACAAAGGGUUAACGAUGGACUACAGAACUGUUCUGGGGGCUCAGGGUGCAGACAUAUUUUGGUGUACGAGUACGAGUAUAUCCCCUAAAGAGGAGGCACAUUAUCGAGGUUCUUGGAUCUUGAGGGGCGCUGUGUAAUCGUAAAAUGUAAACUUUAAAUGGUAAAUGGAAAGUCGUUUCUUGUAGAUUUUAAUUCGAAACGGUUUGAUUUUGUUUGUCUGGAUCGGGGAGUGGAUCAAGGAGGUCCUCUUUCUCCACCCUCCAUCCAGACCAAUCCCAAUCCAAUCCGAUCCUAUCCGUUCGGCUCUGUUCUGUUUAGGCCCUGCCCUAUGUGUCUCUAAGAUCUUUCUAAUAUCGCUUAUCCUACGGCUACUUAGCGCUCUGACUCGCGGGGCUACGCUUUAAAAUAUCGAAACAAUCGAUGGAGUUUCGUAAAGUUUCGACUAAUACAAUUAACACGAAUAUUAUUCAUCAUUACAUAUAUGUAUGCAAUGUAUAUACUUGUGUAUACAUACAAAGAGGUUUUGGUUUCAUUUCCCAUUUCUUAGCAUUGUUUUAGCUUUCGGUUUAGAUUGCGUGGGGUUCCCCCUUUUGCGUGUAUAUUUUAGCUAGGCGCGAUUUAUCGAUAACUAUUUUGAUCUUUGGGUUUCUAGACAAGGUAGCUUGACAUUCUCGAUGAAAGCAACGGAUACUAUACGCCGUGUCUUUCGAUUUCUUGAUGGUUCGGUUGCACUGUUUCUUUUUGGUAUAUAGUUUUCCCUUUGGUUUUUGGUAAUUAAUUUCUUCAAAACAUAUAUCAAUUAAUUACGUAGCUCUGGUUGAGGCGCAAAAGCUCAAUAGACGGCACUGCAUUCGCAAACAAAGUGGCAUCCUCCGCCGUAUCAGCUCCGCGUCGCAUACUUCCGUUUCGUGUGCGCCCAUUUUACAUCCUUUCCAGUUGCCUUGCUGUCUGUUGUUGUUCUUGUCGUCCUGUCGUCCUUGUCCGUCGUCCGUUAUCCUGGUGUUGGUUGUGGUCCUACUCCUGGUACUAGUCUGGUGUUUAUCCUGCCA
rnacentral:sRNA from 1 species